rnacentral:rRNA from 1 species
GACGAACGCUGGCGGCGUGCCUAAUACAUGCGAGUCGAGCGAGUCUGCCUUGAAGAUCGGAGUGCUUGCACUCUGUGAAACAAGAUACAGGCUAGCGGCGGACGGGUGAGUAACACGUGGGUAACCUGCCCAAGAGAUCGGGAUAACACCUGGAAACAGAUGCUAAUACCGGAUAACAACAGAUGAUGCCUAUCAACUGUUUAAAAGAUGGUUCUGCUAUCACUCUUGGAUGGACCUGCGGUGCAUUAGCUAGUUGGUAGGGUAACGGCCUACCAAGGCGAUGAUGCAUAGCCGAGUUGAGAGACUGAUCGGCCACAUUGGGACUGAGACACGGCCCAAACUCCUACGGGAGGCAGCAGUAGGGAAUCUUCCACAAUGGACGCAAGUCUGAUGGAGCAACGCCGCGUGAGUGAAGAAGGGUUUCGGCUCGUAAAGCUCUGUUGUUGGUGAAGAAGGACAGGGGUAGUAACUGACCUUUGUUUGACGGUAAUCAAUUAGAAAGUCACGGCUAACUAAGUG